rnacentral:rRNA from 1 species
UACGUAGGCAGCGAGCGUUGUUCGGAGUUACUGGGCGUAAAGGGUGUGUAGGCGGUUCGGUAAGUCCGCUGUGAAAGUCCAGGGCUCAACCCUGGAAAGCCGGUGGAAACUGUCGAGCUAGAGUCCGGAAGAGGCGAGUGGAAUUCCUGGUGUAGCGGUGAAAUGCGCAGAUAUCAGGAGGAACACCAAUGGCGAAGGCAGCUCGCUGGGACGGUACUGACGCUGAGACGCGAAAGCGUGGGGAGCAAACAGG